GCCCGGCGCGGUGGUGUGUGCCUGUAGUCCCAGCUACUCGGGAGGCUGAGGUGGGAGGAUCACUUGAGCCCAGGAGUUCUGGGCUGUAGUGCGCUAUGCCGAUUGGGUGUCUGCACUAAGUUUGGCAUCAAUAUGGUGAUCUCCCAGGAGCGAGGACCACCAGGUUGCCUAAGGAGGGGUGAACCGGCUCAGGUAGGACACUGAGCAGGUCAAAACUCCCGUGCUGAUCAGUAGUAGUAUCGAGCCUGUGAAUAGCCACAGCACUCCAGCCUGGGCAACAUAGCAAGACCCCAUCUCUU
ensembl:misc_RNA Metazoa_SRP Metazoan signal recognition particle RNA